GACGAACGCUGGCGGCGUGCUUAACACAUGCAAGUCGAACGGAAAGGCCCUGCUUUUGUGGGGUGCUCGAGUGGCGAACGGGUGAGUAACACGUGAGUAACCUGCCCUUGACUUUGGGAUAACUUCAGGAAACUGGGGCUAAUACCGGAUAGGAGCUCCUGCUGCAUGGUGGGGGUUGGAAAGUUUCGGCGGUUGGGGAUGGACUCGCGGCUUAUCAGCUUGUUGGUGGGGUAGUGGCUUACCAAGGCUUUGACGGGUAGCCGGCCUGAGAGGGUGACCGGCCACAUUGGGACUGAGAUACGGCCCAGACUCCUACGAGAGGCAGCAGUGGGGAAUAUUGCACAAUGGGCGGAAGCCUGAUGCAGCAACGCCGCGUGCGGGAUGACGGCCUUCGGGUUGUAAACCGCUUUCGCCUGUGACGAAGCGUGAGUGACGGUAAUGGGUAAAGAAGCACCGGCUAACUACGUGCCAGCAGCCGCGGUGAUACGUAGGGUGCGAGCGUUGUCCGGAUUUAUUGGGCGUAAAGGGCUCGUAUGUGGUCGAUCGCGUCGGAAGUGUAAUCUUGGGGCUUAACCCUGAGCGUGCUUUCGAUACGGGUUGACUUGAGGAAGGUAGGGGAGAAUGGAAUUCCUGGUGGAGCGGUGGAAUGCGCAGAUAUCAGGAGGAACACCAGUGGCGAAGGCGGUUCUCUGGGCCUUUCCUGACGCUGAGGAGCGAAAGCGUGGGGAGCGAACAGGCUUAGAUACCCUGGUAGUCCACGCUGUAAACGGUGGGUACUAGGUGUGGGGUCCAUUCCACGGGUUCCGUGCCGUAGCUAACGCUUUAAGUACCCCGCCUGGGGAGUACGGCCGCAAGGCUAAAACUCAAAGGAAUUGACGGGGCCCCGCACAAGCGGGCGGAGCAUGCGGAUUAAUUCGAUGCAACGCGUAGAACCUUACCUGGGUUUGACAUGGAUCGGGAGUGCUCAGAGAUGGGUGUGCCUCUUUUGGGGUCGGUUCACAGGUGGUGCAUGGCUGUCGUCAGCUCGUGUCGUGAGAUGUUGGGUUAAGUCCCGCAACGAGCGCAACCCUUGUUCACUGUUGCCAGCACGUUAUGGUGGGGACUCAGUGGAGACCGCCGGGGUCAACUCGGAGGAAGGUGGGGAUGACGUCAAGUCAUCAUGCCCCUUAUGUCCAGGGCUUCACGCAUGCUACAAUGGCUGGUACAGAGAGUGGCGAGCCUGUGAGGGUGAGCGAAUCUCGGAAAGCCGGUCUCAGUUCGGAUUGGGGUCUGCAACUCGACCUCAUGAAGUCGGAGUCGCUAGUAAUCGCAGAUCAGCAACGCUGCGGUGAAUACGUUCCCGGG
rnacentral:rRNA from 1 species